rnacentral:rRNA from 1 species
UACGUAGGGGGCUAGCGUUGUCCGGAUUUAUUGGGCGUAAAGAGCGUGUAGGCGGCCAGGUAGGUCUGGUGUGAAAACUCGAGGCUUAACCUCGAGAUGUCAUCGGAAACCAUCUGGCUAGAGUCCGGAAGAGGAGAGUGGAAUUCCUGGUGUAGCGGUGAAAUGCGCAGAUAUCAGGAGGAACACCAGUGGCGAAGGCGGUUCUCUGGGCAUUACCUGACGCUGAGGAGCGAAAGUGUGGGGAGCGAACAGG